rnacentral:rRNA from 1 species
GAUGAACGCUGGCGGCGUGCCUAACACAUGCAAGUCGAACGGGGGCAGAUUGAAACCUAGUGAUAUCUGCCCGAGUGGCGGACGGGUGAGUAACGCGUGGACAACCUGCCGCAUGCAGGGGGAUACCGGCUGGAAACAGCCGCUAAUACCGCAUAUGCGCACGGCGCCGCAUGACGCCGCGCGGAAAGGGAGCGAUCCCGGCAUGCGAUGGGUCCGCGUCCGAUUAGCUUGUUGGCGGGGCAGCGGCCCACCAAGGCGACGAUCGGUAGCCGGCCUGAGAGGGCGGACGGCCACAUUGGGACUGAGACACGGCCCAG